UCAAAUAUUAUUUAAUCUUGUGAUCUUAAAUAUAAUACAAAAAAUUAAAAUUAAAGAGUUGCUAAAAAAACUCAUACUUUAAACAGACUAAAAAUAAUAUAUCAAAAGAAAUUAAAAUGAAGAGAAUACUAAACAUAAGCGAUUCGUUUAUCUUUAAAAUAAACUGCAAAGUGAAAUGCAUCACAUAAAGUCAUAAUAAAUUAAGAUAAAACGAAAGGUAGCGGAAAGUUAAAUCUUAGGAUUAAUUUUGUUGAGAGGUUAAUGUAUUUCCGAUGAGAUUCUCUUAUAAGACGGAGUUUGGAAGUUGAAGAAGGC
rnacentral:lncRNA from 1 species